rnacentral:ncRNA from 1 species
CAAAAGCUUGGUCCUGACUUUACUGUCAAUUUUGAUUAAAUUUAUACAUGCAAGUCUCCGCACUCCUGUGAGAAUGCCCUACCUCUUUCCCCCUUUAGGAAAAUAGGAGCAGGUCUUAGGCACAACCCUACGUUAGCCCACCACACCUUGCUAAGCCACACCCCCACGGGAAACAGCAGUAAUAAACAUUAAGCCAUAAGUGAAAACUUGACUUACUUAUACAUCAACAGAGCCGGUAAAGCUCGUGCCAGCCACCGCGGUUAUACGAGCAGGCCCAAAUUGACAGCCUUCGGCAUAAAGCGUGGUUAAUAGAACUAGAACUAAAGUCGAAUCUCACCAGAGCUGUUAUACGCCUAUGAGGAGUAGAAGCCCAACAACGAAAGUGACUUUAAAAUUUAUGAGCCCACGAAAGCUAUGGAACAAACUGGGAUUAGAUACCCCACUAUGCAUAGCCUUAAACAAAAAUGGGACACACCCCCAUUCGCCAGGGUACAACGAGCAUUCAAGCCAUAUACGUAUGUCUUUGAACCUUUUCUUCAGCUUAAAACCCAAAGGACUUGGCGGUGCUUUAAUUCCAACUAGAGGAGCCUGUUUUUUAAUCGACACCCCCCGACUAACCUCACCUUCCCUUGCUUCCUCAGCUUAUAUACCACCGUCGCAAGCUUACCCUGGAAAGGAUUUAUAGUAAGCAGAAUUGGUUAACUCCCCAAACGUCAGGUCAAGGUGUAGCAUACGAGAAGGUCAAAAUGGGCUACAUUUACUGCUACAGUGCAUACGGAACAAGAAUUUAAAAGUUUGAAUGAAGGAGGAUUUAGUAGUAAGGUAAGAACAGAGUGCUUUCCUGAAAAAGGCCCUAAAGCGCGCACACACCGCCCGUCACCCUCCUCAAUAAAUCCGCACCUGAUAAAUAAUACAUCGCACCGAUUUAGCCAUACGAGGAGGCAAGUCGUAACAUGGUAAGGGUACCGGAAGGUGCCCUUGGAAAAA